AACGAACGUUAGCGGCGCGCCUAAACAUGCAAGUCGAACGCGACAGGGGCAACUCUGUUGAGUGGCGCACGGGUGAGUAACACGUAGGUAAUCUCCCCUCGAGUGGUGGAUAACCUUCCGAAAGGAGGGCUAAUACAGCAUAAGACCACGGCCCCGAAAGAGGCCGAGGUCAAGGCGGAGGAUCGCAAGACUUCGCGCCUGAGGAUGAGCCGGCGGCCCAUCAGGUAGUUGGCGGGGUAAUAGCCCACCAAGCCUAAGACGGGUAGCUGGUCUGAGAGGAUGACCCGCCACACUGGAACUGAGACACGGUCCAGACUCCUACGGGAGGCAGCAGUGGGGAAUCGUGCGCAAUGGACGAAAGUCUGACGCAGCGACGCCGCGUGGGUGAUGAAGGCCUUCGGGUUGUAAAGCCCUGUGGGGAGGGACGAAUAAGUUGCAGCUAAUACCUGCAGCGAUGACGGUACCUCCUUAGCAAGCACCGGCUAACUCUGUGCCAGCAGCCGCCGUAAUAC
rnacentral:rRNA from 1 species